AACGAACGCUGGCGGCAGGCCUAACACAUGCAAGUCGAGCGCCCCGCAAGGGGAGCGGCAGACGGGUGAGUAACGCGUGGGAAUCUACCUAGUGGUACGGAAUAGCCCCGGGAAACUUGGAGUAAUACCGUAUACGCCCGAAAGGGGAAAGAUUUAUCGCCAUUAGAUGAGCCCGCGUUGGAUUAGCUAGUUGGUGGGGUAACGACCCACCAAGGCGACGAUCCAUAGCUGGUCUGAGAGGAUGAUCAGCCACACUGGGACUGAGACACGGCCCAGACUCCUACGGGAGGCAGCAGUGGGGAAUAUUGGACAAGGGGCGCAAGCCUGAUCCAGCAAUGCCGCGUGAGUGAUGAAGGCCUUAGGGUUGUAAAGCUCUUUCGCACGCGACGAUGAUGACGGUAGCGUGAGAAGAAGCCCCGGCUAACUUCGUGCCAGCAGCCGCCGUAAAAC
rnacentral:rRNA from 1 species